UAGAAACAGGGUUUCACCACAUUGGCCAGGCUGGUCUUGAACUCCUGACCUCACGUGGUCCACCUGCCUCGGCCUCGCAAAGUGCUGAGAUUAUAGGUGUGAGCCACUGCACCUGGCCCUAGCUUUUGAUACUGUCAUUUCCCUUUGGGCUUGAGACUGUUCUAGUCAAUCCUGGUCUCAUUGUUUGCCUGACAGGUACCAUGAUUUAAAAAAAAAAAAAAAAAACAGAAUGAAAUUUUGGGAUAUAGUGUAGACUCUCUAGUAACUGUUAAUCCCAUAAUACAGGUCCAAUUUCCAUAAACAAUAGUAUACUACUUUGACUACUUUUGACUUGGUUUCAAGGUGACCUGGAGGUGGAAGAGGGUAUAUUGGGUGGUUGGUUUAUAUGUUAUUAUUACUGAGAAACCAGUUUAUUUUCAUGUUUAUACUGAAGAUAUAGCCUCCCAAAUUUUACAAUUUAGGUAUUUCUCUAAGAAUAGUAUUAUUAGUUAAUACCUAACAUUUGAGUGUUUGCUAUGUGUCAGACCCUGUGUGUUUAGUCCUGCAUUAUUUUAUGUAAUCAUUACGACAGUCCUAUGAGGUAGGGUUUAUAAUUGAGGAAUCUGGAACUUAGAUGAUAAUUAAGAGCCGUUUGUGUGAAAAGUGUUGAAACACUGAACUAAAGCUGUGAUGUGGAGAUGAAGACGAGACAGAUACACAUUGAAAAGAUAAAAUUGAAGAAUUGACACAGUUGAAUUGAUAGGAAUUUAUAAACAACCAGAAAAAGAUCAUGGCAAAGAGGUUAAGGUAAGUGGGAAUUUUGGUUUGGGUAAUUGAAUUAGAUUGACAGAUGGGAAUACAGGGGAAUUAGGUUGGGAGGAUUGGAUGGGGAUGUCCUCAGUUUUGGUCAAGAUUUUAAGGUGGUUGUAGAAAGAGUCUCUUAAGUGGAGAAACCUUUUAGUAUACAAUUGGAUAUGUGAAUCUAGAGUUUCAGAAAGGUUCUAACUGAGAAACAAAUUUAUGAGUUCACUUAUUUAUUUGAAGGUUCACAAGGUCACCCUGGGGUUUGUAAAAUGAGAAGGUAGAAGAGAGUUGUGAGGUACACCAUCAUUUAAGAGUCUCAAAGAAGACUGCCUAAGAAGGCAUGAGCAGCAAGGUAGGAGAGCCAGAAGAGAGUGGUAGAAACCAAGGGAAAAAUGUCAAGAAUCAAAGAAUGAUCAACCCUGUCAUACCACAGUUGAAGACUGAAGAGAGCCCAAGUGAUGUUAGGAAAAGAGCAGUCUCAGUGGAGUGGUGGAGGCAGCAGGGACACGAGUGCAGCCCUAACUAAUGGAGUACCUGCAUCUGAUGUAACUACUUAAAAAAAAAGUUCUUUAAACUAUGAAGUCAUAAAGCCAGAAGAAACCCUGAGAGGCCAUCCACCCCAGGUACAAUUGUUUCAGAAUUCUUUCAAGUAUUUUAUUUGCCCUAUGUAAAUGUUAUUGGAAUAUUGCAC
rnacentral:lncRNA from 10 species